GACGAACGCUGGCGGCGUGCUUAACACAUGCAAGUCGAACGGAAAGGCCCUGCUUUUGUGGGGUGCUCGAGUGGCGAACGGGUGAGUAACACGUGAGUAACCUGCCCUUGACUUUGGGAUAACUUCAGGAAACUGGGGCUAAUACCGGAUAGGAGCUCCUGCUGCAUGGUGGGGGUUGGAAAGUUUCGGCGGUUGGGGAUGGACUCGCGGCUUAUCAGCUUGUUGGUGGGGUAGUGGCUUACCAAGGCUUUGACGGGUAGCCGGCCUGAGAGGGUGACCGGCAACAUUGGGACUGAGAUACGGCCCAGACUCCUACGGGAGGCAGCAAUGGGGAAUAUUGCAAAAUGGGCGGAAGCCUGAUGCAGCAACGCCGCGUGCGGGAUGACGGCCUUCGGGUUGUAAACCGCUUUCGCCUGUGACGAAGCGUGAGUGACGGUAAUGGGUAAAGAAGCACCGGCUAACUACGUG
rnacentral:rRNA from 1 species